UACAGGGGGGGCAAGCGUUGUUCGGAAUUACUGGGCGUAAAGGGCUCGUAGGCGGCCAACUAAGUCACACGUGAAAUCCCCAGGCUCAACCUGGGAACUGCGUGUGAUACUGGAUGGCUUGAAUUCGGGAGAGGGAUGCAGAAUUCCAGGUGUAGCGGUGAAAUGCGUAGAUAUCUGGAGGAAUACCGGUGGCGAAGGCGGCAUCCUGGACCGACAUUGACGCUGAGGAGCGAAAGCUAGGGGAGCAAACGGG
rnacentral:rRNA from 1 species